rnacentral:rRNA from 1 species
CCUACGGGAGGCAGCUGUGAGGAAUAUUGGUCAAUGGACGAGAGUCUGAACCAGCCAAGUAGCGUGAAGGAUGACUGCCCUAUGGGUUGUCAACUUCUUUUAUCAAGGAAUAAAAUGAGGCACGUGUGCCUUUUUGUAUGUACUUUAUGAAUAAGGAUCGACUAACUCCGUGCCAGCAGCCGCGGUAAUACGGAGGAUCCGAGCGUUAUCCGGUUUUAUUGGGUUUAAAGGGAGCGUAAAUGGGUUGUUAAGUCAGUUGUGAAAGUUUGCGGCUCAACCGUAAAAUUGCAAUUGAUACUGGCAGUCUUGAGUACAGUUGAGGUAGGCGGAAUUCGUGGUGUAGCGGUGAAAUGCUUAGAUAUCACGAAGAACUCCGAUUGCGAAGGCAGCUUACUAAACUGCCACUGACAUUGAUGCUCGAAAGUGUGGGUAUCAAACAGGAUUAGAUACCCCUGUAGUC